UACGGGAGGCAGCAGUGGGGAAUAUUGCACAAUGGGCGCAAGCCUGAUGCAGCCAUGCCGCGUGUAUGAAGAAGGCCUUCGGGUUGUAAAGUACUUUCAGUCGUGAGGAAGGUGUUAAGGUUAAUAACCUUAGCAAUUGACGUUAGCGACAGAAGAAGCACCGGCUAACUCCGUGCCAGCAGCCGCGGUAAUACGGAGGGUGCGAGCGUUAAUCGGAAUUACUGGGCGUAAAGGGCACGCAGGCGGUUAAUUAAGUUGGAUGUGAAAUCCCCGGGCUUAACCUGGGAAUGGCAUUCAAGACUGGUUAGCUAGAGUCUUGUAGAGGGGGUAGAAUUCCAUGUGUAGCGGUGAAAUGCGUAGAGAUGUGGAGGAAUACCGGUGGCGAAGGCGGCCCCUGGGACAAAGACUGACGCUCAUGUGCGAAGCGUGGGGAGCAGCAGGAUUAGAUACC
rnacentral:rRNA from 1 species